rnacentral:rRNA from 1 species
UACGUAGGGGGCAAGCGUUGUCCGGAUUUACUGGGCGUAAAGAGCGCGCAGGCGGUCGUUCAAGUCGCGUGUGAAAGCCCCCGGCUCAACUGGGGAGGGUCACGCGAUACUGAUCGACUCGAAGGCAGGAGAGGGUAGUGGAAUUCCCGGUGUAGUGGUGAAAUGCGUAGAUAUCGGGAGGAACACCAGUGGCGAAGGCGACUACCUGGCCUGUUCUUGACGCUGAGGCGCGAAAGCGUGGGGAGCAAACAGG